GGAAGUAAAAUCGUAACAAGGUCUCCGUUGGUGAACCAGCGGAGGGAUCAUUACAGGACUCGCAAGACUCCUACAACCCUGUGAACUUAACUAUAAGCACGUUGCUUCGGCGGGUGUCUCGGAGGGGGUUCUCCCUCCCCGAGACGCUAAACCCGCCGGCAGCCUACUAUACUCUGUCUCUUUGCGUUGGCAUCUCGAGUACAAUCAAACAAGUUAAAACUUCCAACAACGGAUCUCUUGGUUCUG
rnacentral:misc_RNA from 1 species